GCCGUCUUAGCUCAGAUAGGUAGAGCACAUCCAUGGUAAGGAUGAGGUCGGCGGUUCAAGUCCGCUAGACGGCUCUA
rnacentral:tRNA from 3 species